UCUGUGAACGAUAGUGCAGUAGAAACAACGAUCCAUCCGAGUUGUUCGUACCGGAAGUUCUCGCCGCUGGAAUCUCCCACGGAUGUAUCGUCAUCGAGUUUCGAACACAUCACUUCGCGAUAGCCAUGCGGCUGGUCCGACUCCGGCCAAUAUCGUAUUCAAUACAUUUACGACAACCGUUCCGGUUGUUGGGUCGCCUAUCCUGUGAUAGGCUGGUGGAUUGUUCGUGGGGUACAUCCCAUUCGAUUGCAUCUAGGAGGAGAAGAUGCAGCUCUCCCAUGAGCUUGUUCGGUUUGGACCAAACAAUUUCGUUGUUCUGGAGUUUCAUGACAUUCAAUAUCAAUGUCAAGAGACAGUACCCUACACCAGUCCAUGCCUGGAAUGACCGCUGUCAGCCAUACCACGAUCUACCAAAAAAUCUGCGGUGGUUCUACACAGCCGAGCCCGAGCACCUUGAGCCCCACUUUCCGUACAAGAUCAUCAUUGCUGGCCCGCCGAAUUAGUGUCUUUUUGUAGUCUGUAAUUUAUUUAUUCAUGUCUCUUUUCUUCAGAACUGGAACUUUGACACCUCGGCAGGGAAAUAAAAACGAUUGCUGUGAUGGUUUAUUCACACCUCCAGCGUGAUAAACGUGUAAACCCAUGGAAUUUCUGUAGCAGGUUGGUGGAAUAAGGAACUUUCCGGAUGUUUCGAUAUUCGUCCACCGUGUGCUUGGCUGGCGUUGUUUGAUGCGUUUCUCAUCGAUUAACAAAUGGAUUUAUUUGGGCGAUGAAAGGACAAGGUCUUCAUGAUAUCGACACUGAAUUCAAACUCUGAAUCAGCGGUUAUCCUUUGAUCACUUUGUCAAUGGAACUGAAGGGGGCAAAGGUUGAUGCAUCUCCGUUCUAUAGCAGUUCCCCAGAGUCACAGUACCAAGAAAACAGUCGUCGCCCGUUGGCGAACAGCCGGCAGGAUGGUCGAGCAGUUUUGCGCCGGUGGAAUAGUCUCUUGUCAGCAUCGGGAAUUUGCGGUUCAGCUGUAGCACCGUGGUAUGUCUGGGCGACAUUUACGGAUGGGCAUCGCACUUCAACACAAUUAAGGGAAUGAUGAUGGCGGUAACUAAGCUGAGUGGACAUUCCAGUAUUGACCUGAAUAAAUCAAAGUGAAGAUAACAUCUCUCAGUUUUAUUGGUUUAAUUAAAACAAUUUCAAUAACGGAACAAUAAAUAAUGUAACUCGA